CAGGCUUAACACAUGCAAGUCGAGGGGCAGCAUUUUAGUUUGCUUGCAAACUAAAGAUGGCGACCGGCGCACGGGUGAGUAACACGUAUCCAACCUGCCGAUAACUCGGGGAUAGCCUUUCGAAAGAAAGAUUAAUAUCCGAUAGUAUAUUAAAACCGCAUGGUUUUGCUAUUAAAGAAUUUCGGUUAUCGAUGGGGAUGCGUUCCAUUAGUUUGUUGGCGGGGUAACGGCCCACCAAGACUACGAUGGAUAGGGGUUCUGAGAGGAAGGUCCCCCACAUUGGAACUGAGACACGGUCCAAACUCCUACGGGAGGCAGCAGUGAGGAAUAUUGGUCAAUGGACGAGAGUCUGAACCAGCCAAGUAGCGUGAAGGAUGACUGCCCUAUGGGUUGUAAACUUCUUUUAUAUGGGAAUAAAGUUUUCCACGUGUGGAAUUUUGUAUGUACCAUAUGAAUAAGGAUCGGCUAACUCCGUGCCAGCAGCCGCGGUAAUACGGAGGAUCCGAGCGUUAUCCGGAUUUAUUGGGUUUAAAGGGAGCGUAGGUGGAUUGUUAAGUCAGUUGUGAAAGUUUGCGGCUCAACCGUAAAAUUGCAGUUGAAACUGGCAGUCUUGAGUACAGUAGAGGUGGGCGGAAUUCGUGGUGUAGCGGUGAAAUGCUUAGAUAUCACGAAGAACUCCGAUUGCGAAGGCAGCUCACUAGACUGCAACUGACACUGAUGCUCGAAAGUGUGGGUAUCAAACAGGAUUAGAUACCCUGGUAGUCCACACAGUAAACGAUGAAUACUCGCUGUUUGCGAUAUACAGUAAGCGGCCAAGCGAAAGCAUUAAGUAUUCCACCUGGGGAGUACGCCGGCAACGGUGAAACUCAAAGGAAUUGACGGGGGCCCGCACAAGCGGAGGAACAUGUGGUUUAAUUCGAUGAUACGCGAGGAACCUUACCCGGGCUUAAAUUGCAUUUGAAUAAUCUGGAAACAGGUUAGCCGCAAGGCAAAUGUGAAGGUGCUGCAUGGUUGUCGUCAGCUCGUGCCGUGAGGUGUCGGCUUAAGUGCCAUAACGAGCGCAACCCUUAUCUUUAGUUACUAACAGGUCAUGCUGAGGACUCUAGAGAGACUGCCGUCGUAAGAUGUGAGGAAGGUGGGGAUGACGUCAAAUCAGCACGGCCCUUACGUCCGGGGCUACACACGUGUUACAAUGGGGGGUACAGAAGGCAGCUACCUGGCGACAGGAUGCUAAUCCCAAAAACCUCUCUCAGUUCGGAUCGAAGUCUGCAACCCGACUUCGUGAAGCUGGAUUCGCUAGUAAUCGCGCAUCAGCCAUGGCGCGGUGAAUACGUUCCCGGGCCUUGUACACACCGCCCGUCAAGCCAUGAAAGCCGGGGGUACAUGAAGUACGUAACCGUAAGGAGCGUCCUAGGGUAAAACU
rnacentral:rRNA from 1 species